GCAAGUAUGCAAACAAGACUGACUCUUCCUUUCCACUGGAGCUUUGGGUAAUUGCUCUGACAAUUCUAUGAUUUGCUGAAGCCACGGAAAAUCAGUUUUAAAACAGGAUUUCUACCCCUGGCUCACUACAUGACAAAUAAUUUUAUCCUGUAAUCUUCUGAUGUUAAACAAAGAUGGCCCUCAAUGUAAUUGUUACAGUGCCUCCUCCCCACUUCUGUUAGCUGUUGCUUCUCUGCCUCCCAUGAGUUUAGUGUAAUCCCAGAACUUUGGGAGACCAAGGCGGGCAGAUCACUUGAGGUCAGGAGUCAGAGACCAGCCUGGCCAACAUGGCGAAACCCCAUCUCUACUGAAAAUACAAAAAUUAGCCAGGCAUGGUGGCUUGCGUCUGUAAUCCCAGCUACUUGAGAGGCUGAGACACAAGAAUCGCUUGAAUCCUGGAGGCAGAGGUUGCAGUGAGCUGAGAUAGUGCCACUACACUCCAGCCUGGGAGACAGAGCGAGACCCUGUCUCAAAACAACAAAAAACAAAAACCGAACAAACAAAAACUGUAAUUGCUGAAACGCUCUUUUUCAUCAAUCAUAUAUAUUGAACCACGGUCACGAAAACAUGGGAAAAGUGUAAUUUCUGCCUCUGAGGAACUCACAGUCUAGUGGGAGACACCAUUUAUUCAUCCAUUCUUUCAUGAAAUACACAUUGAGAAUGUAACACACCCUGGGCAAAGGAGAGGUCAUUUGACUAUGACACAAGACAAUAGUCAUAGUCUUUGCUCUCAUGGAAUUCACAGCCUAGCCAUGGAGAUUAAAAAUAAAAAGAUCUAAUAGAAUAAAGAGUAGUAGAUUUAAAAACACUGGAAACCCAGUGUGCAGUAAAACUAAAAAAGAGGGCUACCUAACCUAGUGUGAGAGGUGAGGUAGAGGUUAGGGUGAGAAAGGAUGGUAUAGGAAGGCUUUCUGGAAAAUUUCAAGAUAAAUCUUGAGGAUAAGUCAGAAUUAUACAGUCCAAGCUCACUGCAGUUAAAUCUUCAGUCUCCAGCACUGCACUUGGGAAAGCGUCAAGGAGUUGAAUGUAUAUGUAAUUGGAGUGCCAGAAGAAGAGAACUGAGAGAGAGGGGCAGAACAGCUCAUGAGGGGGAAAACCCACUACAUACAAACAAGAAUACUGCAGACUCCUCAUCAGAAUCUAUGUUAUGAACACAUGUAAGGCACCUCAUCUGGCAUCUGACAAACUCAACGAGACAAUGAAUGAACCAGAAUAAAUAAUCAUCUAUUUUCUUCCCCCUGAACAUUUCUACAGUUGAGACAGUCUUAGAAUUUCUCUCUUGCAUGCCAGGAUAUUAGACUGUUGAAAUUGAAUUCUUUUUUUUUUUUUUGAGAAGGAGUCUCGCUCUGUCCCCAGGCUAGAGUGCAGUGGCGCGAUAUCGGCUCACUGCAACCUCCGCCUCCAAGGUUCACGCCAUUCUCCUGCCUCAGCUUCCCGAGUAACUGGGACUACAGGCGCCCGCCACGACACCUAACUAUUUUUUUUGUAUUUUUUAGUAGAGACGGGGUUUCACCGUGUUAGCCACGAUGGUCUUGAUCUCCUGACCUCGUGAUCUGCCUGCCUCGGCCUCCCAAAGUGCUGGAAUUACAGGCGUCAACCACCGCGCCCGGCCGAAAUUGAAUUUCUUUCUUUUCACCAACUCGAAUUUCUUCUUCUUAUGUAAGGUCAUCUUACAUAAGUGAGACUCCUUUGUUCCCUUUCCCUUAAUAACAAGCCUACAAGGAGGUGAAGGUGG
rnacentral:lncRNA from 10 species